rnacentral:rRNA from 1 species
UACGUAGGGGGCUAGUGUUGUCCGGAUUUAUUGGGCGUAAAGAGCGUGUAGGCGGCCAGGUAGGUCUGCUGUGAAAACUCGAGGCUCAACCUCGAGACGUCGGCGGAAACCAUCUGGCUAGAGUCCGGAAGAGGAGAGUGGAAUUCCUGGUGUAGCGGUGAAAUGCGUAGAUAUCAGGAAGAACACCCGUGGCGAAGGCGGCUCUCUGGGACGGUACUGACGCUGAGACGCGAAAGCGUGGGGAGCGAACAGG